CAUCUUACAUUCUGGCUUUGCGCCGGGAGACUGCACUGCUCAUGCCAGAGACCCGCUGAAAGGUCACCCCAGAAUGGCUGUGUUGGGAGGGGCUUGCUUAGCAGUGUGGGUCCUGAACUGUGAUCUUUAACUCUCCACUUUGGGGGGUAAAAGCAAGAGUAAAGAAUUCCAAAGGAGCCCCAAAUUCAGAUUUUUGGAAUGAUAAUAUAACCAGAAGUUUUUUUUUUCCUCUCUCUGAAUUACUGUAAACAGCAAGGAGACACAGCCCAUGCAGUUCUUUUAAAUAAGCAGUGAGAAGCCCCUGUGUCUUCCUGGAGGUUUGUAAGCAGAUGUUGCUGAGCCUGCAUCAGACUGGGUUUCUACAUCAUUUAAUCACUUGUCUUGACAUAUCACUUCCGGACACUGCUUGAACCUGUGCAGAAUGAGUUGAGGAGUUUUUUCUGCUACAAAUCCAAGUCCUUGGAUGCCACAUACCAGCAUGUGAUGAAGACCAGGGGUCCUCUAAGAAGACCAUGAGCUGGGAUUGCCCAAUCUUAAAGUUUUGUCCUCCAAAACUCUCCGGAGCCGGGGAGGGACAGAGUGAGCAUCGCAGUGGAACAGAGCCUGGAGGCUUGACUGGAGGGGACUGGAGUCAAUCUCUGGCCUCUGUCCCCAAGACUCAUUACAGCAUCUGUUCCUCUGGGACCUGGGUAAAAACCACAAAAUAAAUGUCAGUGACUUCAACAUUUCUCUCAGAAUCUGUGCAGGCUAUGGUGAUAUCUAGAUUCAACGUACUGCCCUAGAUGUACAAGGAAGAACCCUUUAUAUACUGUCUAGUUUUUGGGGAAAGAAAACAGCUGCUAACCAGGCUUGGGGCGUUACAGAUGAGGGUCUUUGGAACACUGAUCUUUGCUCCAGAGCUGUUGCUGAAUCUUUGCUCCAGAGCUGUUGCCGAGAGUAAGAUGGGAUGAAACCUUCUAUUCCAGUAGGAGACACCAAGUCACAGGCUACACUGUUAUAAAAAUAAGCCUUUUCCUCCAGAAUAUAUUGUAGACAAUUGACACAGAUUAAUGAGGCUGAGAUUUUUUUAAUCUAAUACCAUUUUUUAAAGUAGCUUAAAAGUUUUCAUCUAACUCAACCUCACACAUAUUCUGUUACCCACUAAUUUGGUGGCUUAGUGGCUGGAAACAGUAUUUGCUAAAUGAGAGUUUGCCUGCUCUGGUUCAGAAAAAACAGUUACAAUUUAGCAAGCUCUUCUACAAAAGUGAAUUUAUUCUAGUUUCAGUGAUAAAUUAUCUUCGAUUUUAUGAACUGAUGCUGAUGCUGGGCAAUUUUUAAUUUAUUAGAAAAUUUCAAAAUUAUAUUUAUGUGUGUAUGUGUGGGAAG
rnacentral:lncRNA from 1 species